CGCGUUGACGUCACCGGAAGCUGCUGUUGGAGACUCUGCAAGUUUGCCCUAGCUCGGCUUUGCUUCUACCUGUUCUGUCCUUGCCGGUGGGGGGUCACCGGAGCUGCUGAUGCUCCAUCCUCUUCUUUCCUUUGGGCUGUUGUUGAGGUUGCUGCAGUGAGAAAUCGAAGUUGUUGCUACUACCUUGGUCCAAAUUUCGUGCUCUUUCAUUCCAUUCUACUUCAACCUUCCUCACCUUUUAUUGUGGCACUCUGGUUUGGUUUCUUCGGUUCCUUGGGACUAAUUUGAAUAAAUAUUUGAUUAGGUGAGCCUUUCUAUUCAAGAGUAAUGAUCUGCAAUGGGUAUCUAUUCGUUGUUGAGUUCUUAGGCGUCAUCUGCUCCAUAUGUCACAGGCAGGAUCCACCCAUAUUUAUUUUAUUUUUGUUUGUUAAAAAUAUGUAAUUAUUCAUUUUAGACAUUAUAAAUUUAUUUAAAAUGUUUGUAAUUUUCUUAUUCAACUUACA